GGCAAGGUGGCCGAGUGGUCUAAGGCGCACGGUUCAGGUUUUCACCUGAUCCAUCACAUUCCGUGUCAUGAAAAUGGCGUGGGUUCGAAUCCCACCCUUGUCA